rnacentral:rRNA from 1 species
UACGUAGGGGGCAAGCGUUGUCCGGAAUCAUUGGGCGUAAAGCGCGCGUAGGCGGCCCGAUAAGUCCGCUGUAAAAGUCAACGGCUCAACUGUUGAAAGCCGGUGGAUACUGUCGGGCUAGAGUACGGAAGAGGCAAGUGGAAUUCCUGGUGUAGCGGUGGAAUGCGCAGAUAUCAGGAGGAACACCAAUAGCGAAGGCAGCUCGCUGGGACGUUACUGACACUGAGGCGCGAAAGCGUGGGGAGCGAACAGG